CUUCCUGAUGAGGUAAUUUGCGAUUGAUUUUGCUUGGUGGCGCUCUCGCCGGAGCUGCUAUACCCUGCGAAUAUCUGAUAUUAUGUUCUUACAUAUUCUGAUU
rnacentral:snoRNA from 1 species